rnacentral:rRNA from 1 species
GAUGAACGCUGGCGGCGUGCCUAAUACAUGCAAGUCGAGCGAACAGACGAGGAGCUUGCUCCUCUGACGUUAGCGGCGGACGGGUGAGUAACACGUGGAUAACCUACCUAUAAGACUGGGAUAACUUCGGGAAACCGGAGCUAAUACCGGAUAAUAUAUUGAACCGCAUGGUUCAAUAGUGAAAGACGGUUUUGCUGUCACUUAUAGAUGGAUCCGCGCCGCAUUAGCUAGUUGGUAAGGUAACGGCUUACCAAGGCGACGAUGCGUAGCCGACCUGAGAGAGUGAUCGGCCACACUGGAACUGAGACACGGUCCAGACUCCUACGGGAGGGAGCAGUAGGGAAUCGUCCGCAAUGGGCGAAAGCCUGACGGAGCAACGCCGAGUGAGUGAUGAAGGUCUUCGGAUCGUAAAACUCGGUUAUUAGGGAAGAACAAAUGUGUAAGUAACUAUGCACGUCUUGACGGUACCUAAUCAGAAAGCCACGGCUAACUACGUG